ensembl:lincRNA linc-153 ncRNA
AAAUUGGCAAAAUAUGAGUACAAUUCGGACAAUUUUUGCGUAUCAGUCGUAAAAUUCGUCCAUUUUGGUUCAUAAGUUGUUAUUGAAAUUGAUGAUAUUAUUUUUGCAUCAAAUUAGGUGUCCGAAAAUUAGUUUUGCAUGCCUUACUAAUAGAGGAAAUACGGUAAAUAAUAUUAUUUAUGAUUACUAAUUAAUGAGUAAUCUCAAAAAUAAUCGAAAAUCAAUUUUUAACUUGAACAGUUUAGAUUCUUCUACAGAUUUACACUUGAUUAUUUUUGAAUAUCUCGUUCCUACAUGAAGAGUUAUCAAAUUAAUAAAUUUUCAAGGCAUUGCCAAUUAGAUUUUCAUCAAGCAAGUAAUUAGGUUUUUAGCCCUCUGAAAAUUGUGAUAACACACACAAAAAUCUAAAAUGAUUUUUUUCCGAAUCAUAAAAGUUUCGUUACAGUGCUCUUUUGAGAUUUUUUCUGAUUGUGAGAUCCGAAUCUGGAAGAUGGAUAUGCUAGUAAUGAUAUAGUGAAUGCUAAAUAUCGAAUUGAAACUUAUUUUUCAUUUUUGAACUUUGUUUGGUCCAAAAUGUUUGCAAUGAAAUUUUCUAGAAUUAUAACUUUUCGGAACUUUUCAUUCAAUCCAGAAACGUUUGUAAAGUCUGAAAAACAGAAAGAAAUAAUCUAUGUAUGUAGUACUGUGGCGACUAUUAAAAUUUUUAUUUAAAAACUCACAGUUUUUUCCAUUUGUUGUAUUUUUUUAUAUAAUUUGUUCUCUCUGGAAAGACGAAAAUCAUUUUUUCAUUAAAUCAAUAAUUUCUAAAAGUUGUCUAAAGGUUGUAAAUAUCUACGAUAAGAGUCAUAUAAAGUCAGUCUCAUCUUGCAGUCUCCAUUUCAAUCUAUAAUUGUCUUAUACGGACUUGUUGCCAGACUAUGUGAAUAUAUCAUUUCUAAAUCUAGAAAAAGUAUGUAUUACAGCAAUACUAACAAGGACAAAUUUUGAGAUUAUAUCUGAAAAUAGGCUAUUUUUCAAAAAUCCAAAACUACCGUAAUUUUAUUUGAGAAAUUUUCAGAACGUCUCAUUUACGAAAUUCGAAAGUUUUGGGCUAUUUGGGGGGGGGGGGGGGUUCUUUCAAAUCAAAUACCAAAUUUCAGAAGAUCUACAAAUAAGUAUGGUAAGUUGUAACGCUGGGAAACUGAAGAAGAACUGAUUUUUUUCCAGAAAUUAUUUUGAUGAUGCUUUUGAAACAUGACUGUGAUUAAUUUGUUGUACAUAGAUACUUUAUAACUUUAACUCUAAGUUGACAUUUGUAGUUUGAAAAACUUAUUCAAAUUCAAUAUGUUUUCAAUGUGCUACAAAAAAUGCUUUAUUUUUCUGAAUGCUUUAUUUUCUCAUGAUUUACAACUACAUAUUUGCAAUAUUAUAAAAUUUAUUGUUAAUUCAAUUUUACCCUUUUCACUGAUUUUACUAUGGUAUUAAAGCGUUCGAAUAUCACAAUAAAACAUUUCAAAACAGCUUGGAAUGUUUUAUUUCGAGUCAAAAAGCGGUGAAAUCUCAGUUAUGACCAUUUUUUGGAAGUCGAUCGAAAAAAAUUAAUUCCAGCUGCAUAAUUUAAUUAUUUUUAAAAAAUGUUCAAACAUGCGAAAGUGCUUAGAAUUUUUCGAAAAUUUGUUCAAACUCAGUUUUCACCGCUUUUUGACACGACAUUAAAAGAUUCGAAAUUUUUUUUGAAAUUUUUUAUUAUGAUAUUCAUAUGAUCCUUUUAGCACCUUUUAAUCAUUUUAACAUUGACUGUAUUUCAUCUUUAAAUAUUUAAAUGUUUGCAGUUUUUUCCAUUGACUGUAAUGUUUCCCAAAAUCCAUUUUUAUGUCAGUAAAAAUUUCCGAAGUGAAGAAGAUUUUUCAAAUAAAACAUGUUAGAUAUUCUGAAUGUCCCAAAAAAAUCGGAGUAGUGUUUGCAAUAUACUCAAUACACUGGCAUGUAUGGCUCCAUUGUCCGCUCUGCUGAUGCAUGCGCGAUUUACUUCGUCCUCAACGUCUGUUUUGAAUCCUUUUGGCUCAAGCUCAAGCUCCGCGAGAACCUAAGGCGAUGGAGAGACAGGCGGUUCCCAAAAUGGGAGCGUAUGUGUGCCGCCGGCGGCGUACGCUUGUGCACGCGCAUCGAGGAGUACUAAUUAAAUUGGACGAUGCCUGUUUCCUCUCGACAAUACGUACACUCUAAAUUCACGAAUCAUAUCGCUGUGUAGUUGUGCUUCUCAUCCUCUUCCUUCUCUUCUCUACGAGCUCCAGGCCACUGCCGUUUGUGGGGCUUGCGAGCUUUUUUCGCCUGCCGUCUGAAUGCAUUCUACGUGAAGUUGCGUGAAGCUGUCCUGUGAAAGAGACGGAGAGAUUUUGUAGAGAAAGCAUGCUCAUUUUCACACACACACACACAUUGGAGCUGUAUGAGAGAAUGAGAUGGAAAAAGAAGAAGCAGGAGUAGAAUGAGUAGAAGCCAGAAGCACAGGAGCUAGACGAAAGAGCAAAAAAAGAAGAAGAAGACGCUUUUGCGUCUUAUUUUUCUCUUUUUCUUCUUCUUCUUCUUAUUUCUUCGUUUUCUUCAUUUCUUCUUGUGAUGAGAGUAGUCAGUAGCAGACAGCCAGAGACCGCCAGAAACAUGGCUUCCGUCACUAGUUGAACAUUUGCGAGAAGAGCCGCAACGCUUCAGCCGCGUCGCACACUGAUCACCUCUUCCGAAUAAGUGAUCCGAAAAAAUCUGAGACAACAAUUUUUGUAUUUUUGCAUUUGUAUCCUGAUUCAAUUUUCAUAUAAUCUUGACUUUUCAGUUUCUAAUUAAAACAAUUUUGU